rnacentral:rRNA from 1 species
GACAGAGGAGGCGAGCGUUAUCAGGAGUUAUUGGGCGUAAAGUGUACGUAGGCGGCUGGUCAAGUCUGGGGUUAAAGACCACAGCUUAACUGAGGGGGGGCCUUGGAAACUGACCGGCUGGAGUGGGGCAGGGGUUGCGGGAAUUCCCGGUGUAGCGGUGAAAUGCGUAGAUAUCGGGAAGAACACCUGAGGCGAAAGCGCGCAACUGGGCCCUAACUGACGCUGAGGUACGAAAGCUAGGGGAGCGAAUGGG